rnacentral:rRNA from 1 species
AGAGUUUGAUCCUGGCUCAAGAUGAACGCUGGCGGCGCGCCUAACACAUGCAAGUCGAACGGCACCUAUCUUCGGAUAGAAGCGAGUGGCGAACGGCUGAGUAACACGUGGAGAACCUGCCCCCUCCCCCGGGAUAGCCGCCCGAAAGGACGGGUAAUACCGGAUACCCCGGGGUGCCGCAUGGCACCCCGGCUAAAGCCCCGACGGGAGGGGAUGGCUCCGCGGCCCAUCAGGUAGACGGCGGGGUGACGGCCCACCGUGCCGACAAACGGGUAGCCGGGUUGAGAGACCGACCGGCCAGAUUGGGACUGAGACACGGCCCAGACUCCUACGGGAGGCAGCAGUGGGGAAUCUUGCGCAAUGGGGGGAACCCUGACGCAGCGACGCCGCGUGCGGGACGGAGGCCUUCGGGUCGUAAACCGCUUUCAGCAGGGAAGAGUCAAGACUGUACCUGCAGAAGAAGCCCCGGCUAACUACGUGCCAGCAGCCGCGGUAAUACGUAGGGGGCGAGCGUUAUCCGGAUUCAUUGGGCGUAAAGCGCGCGUAGGCGGCCCGGCAGGCCGGGGGUCGAAGCGGGGGGCUCAACCCCCCGAAGCCCCCGGAACCUCCGCGGCUUGGGUCCGGUAGGGGAGGGUGGAACACCCGGUGUAGCGGUGGAAUGCGCAGAUAUCGGGUGGAACACCGGUGGCGAAGGCGGCCCUCUGGGCCGAGACCGACGCUGAGGCGCGAAAGCUGGGGGAGCGAACAGGAUUAGAUACCCUGGUAGUCCCAGCCGUAAACGAUGGACGCUAGGUGUGGGGGGGACGAUCCCCCCGUGCCGCAGCCAACGCAUUAAGCGUCCCGCCUGGGGAGUACGGCCGCAAGGCUAAAACUCAAAGGAAUUGACGGGGGCCCGCACAAGCAGCGGAGCAUGUGGCUUAAUUCGAAGCAACGCGAAGAACCUUACCAGGGCUUGACAUAUGGGUGAAGCGGGGGAGACCCCGUGGCCGAGAGGAGCCCAUACAGGUGGUGCAUGGCUGUCGUCAGCUCGUGUCGUGAGAUGUUGGGUUAAGUCCCGCAACGAGCGCAACCCCCGCCGCGUGUUGCCAUCGGGUGAUGCCGGGAACCCACGCGGGACCGCCGCCGUCAAGGCGGAGGAGGGCGGGGACGACGUCAAGUCAUCAUGCCCCUUAUGCCCUGGGCUGCACACGUGCUACAAUGGCCGGUACAGAGGGAUGCCACCCCGCGAGGGGGAGCGGAUCCCGGAAAGCCGGCCCCAGUUCGGAUUGGGGGCUGCAACCCGCCCCCAUGAAGUCGGAGUUGCUAGUAAUCGCGGAUCAGCAUGCCGCGGUGAAUGCGUUCCCGGGCCUUGUACA